ensembl:lncRNA
CAUAAGAAGACAUCUGAUAAAAUUAAAUAAAUAAGCUAAAAGCUGUUAAACAGGCUAAAUAAGCUGAAGUCAAAGAUAUACAGUUGAAGAAGUUUUUAUUAAAUGCCCAAAGACAAACAAACGAACAAACAAAAAAAACAGUAAACCAACCUCUCUCACUCUUCUCAAAACACAGUAAGUGAUAAAAGACAAACUUCGUUCUUGCAAAGUCUGGAGUGCUGUCACUGAAAUAAGAAAUUCGAGUCUUGAUAUGGAAGUUAGAUUUGUCCUCACACAAUUCCUUGUGAUUCUCCAGUACUUAAUAUGGGAAUGUUUCCAUUCUGAAGAAGGCCUAAAAUAGUGAGUAUUGUAGGAUCCUGGUGGGGAUGGGAUAAGUUAGAAGUUUAGUGAGUUUAAAUGUAGAACUACAUGUGAAUAUGUGAACAUAAUGUCCAAUCUUUUAAUUUUUUCAAUUUCCUCUUCAACAGCUCUGCUAUGUAGGUGAGGCCUAACAGUGGAAAGUCUUUCUACAUUUCGUGACCUCUGGAUAACAAGGAUAUCUGUCACUUCUUUAGCAGCUUUACUACUUCUGAACUUGGUGUGUUGAGAUCAGUUCAUAAUUGGUUGGUGGGAAGUGAUGACCUAGGAUAUUUCUCUGUUAGUUCUUAUAUUUUUAAAUUGUUCUGUUUUUAACAUUACAUCAUCAGAGUAAUUUGCACUCUAGAUGUAUUAAGCUUGCAAAUGUCCAGCACAAUCAGAAGGAAGAAAAUUAGUGACAGUAUAUGAACCUGGAAAGGCCUAGUGAAGUCUUUUGAAACUGUUGUUUUAGUUACUUAUGGAAAUGCUUUUAAAGCCCUUAAGAGUCACCUAGUUCAUCCUCUGAUCCAAACCAUAAUUUAACCUCUAGUAGACAUGAAUAUGGAUAGCCUAACUUGCUCUAAAAUAACUCUUAAGAGGCAGAUCUGGACCCUCUCUAGACAAUCUGCAUCUAUGAUUUACUUACCACUGCAAACUGAGUCAGUGUUUUAACCUGAAUCUUCUUUGCUGGAAAUGUCAUCCCUUACCUUUUCUCAUGAGGGAUCAGUUGAAAUUCAAUGUAAAUGAAAGAAAAGGACUGCAGCUGGAAAAACAAUCCAAACAUAAAAAAUUAAGCUCAACUGCAGGAACAAAGUCCCAGAGCAUGAUCUUGGAGAAUGCCAGCUCAAAAUUCACAGUGCAAAAGGCAACUAGCAUGUUAAAAAUUGCAAGAAAACAAGAGCAAACUAAGCAGAAAAUAAUAAGUACAGUGUGCUUCUAGGUAGUGCUCAGUACAAUUCUGUUUAUCUCAGGCCAGACAGCAAAACUGGAAAUGGUAAAGAUGAGUGAUAAGGGUGAUCAAAACUAUGGAACUGCUAAAUAAUAAAUAGAAAAGUGAACAGAUCGACAGAGAGAUAACUGAGAAGGUAGAAAAUGAGUGGUGAGAAAAGACGAUUAUAGCUAUUAUCUCCCUCUGCCAACACAAAAGCAAGAGAACAUUGAACAAAACUAGCAAGUGACUAGAUAAAAGCAAACAAAGGAUGUGAAUUUUCAUACAGUAUUUCAGCUAAGCCAUGGGAGUCUUCACUGCAGAAAUGUAUGAAUUCAACAAGUUUACAUAGUUCAAAAGGUGAAUGGAAAAAUUCAUGAAAGAAAACUACAUCUAAAGUAAGACGUGAAUGCAUUGUGUUAUAUGCAGUGGUGUUACAUGGAACGUUUAUGGUGUACAACAAAAUGAUAUAACACAAUUUUAAUAAACAUAGUGAUAAUAUCUCUGAU